UUCGUCGGAGGCAACACUUGCAAGUUCUUCUUUUCCAAGCGCUACAAUGCUGAACGACGAGUACAAGAGAUGGGUUCGACUCAUAAGAUUUCUUUCUUCUGAGAAGAAAGAAAAGCGAAGCGAUGGAUAAUGUCUCCAUUUUGAAUCGAAUGGGCGCUUGUUUGGAACUGAGAUUUUAGCACCAUGGAAACGUGACGUCACCACUUAAGGACUCUAUU